AUUGAACGCUGGCGGCAUGCUUUACACAUGCAAGUCGAACGGUAACAGGCCGCAAGGUGCUGACGAGUGGCGCACGGGUGAGUAAUGCAUCGGAACGUGCCCAGUCGUGGGGGAUAACUACUCGAAAGAGUAGCUAAUACCGCAUACGAUCUAUGGAUGAAAGCGGGGGACCGUAAGGCCUCGCGCGAUUGGAGCGGCCGAUGUCCGAUUAGGUAGUUGGUGGGGUAAAGGCUCACCAAGCCGACGAUUGGUAGCUGGACUGAGAGGACGACCGGCCACACUGGGACUGAGACACGGCCCAGACUCCUACGGGAGGCAGCAGUGGGGAAUGGUGGACAAUGGGCGCAAGCCUGAUCCAGCAAGGCCGCGUGCAGGAAGAAGGCCUUCGGGUUGUAAACUGCUUUUGUACGGAACGAAACGGCUCUGGUUAAGACCCGGGGCUAAUGACGGUACCGUAAGAAUAAGCACCGGCUAACUACGUG
rnacentral:rRNA from 1 species